UCGAACUCAGACAUCCACCUGCCUCUGUCUCCAGAGUACUGGGAUCAUAGGCAUGGGCCACCAGGCCCCACAAAUAGUGGGACUUUCUUUCUGAAAGCUAUUCUGGGGUCAUCAGUUGUCAUUUCAUGAUAGAUUCAAAGCCUGAGAACUACCUCCUGAGGUGCAUGGGCUUGCUGUUUUCUGUGACAAGCUAACAAGGCUGCCUUUAUGAAGACUCCUCCAUGGGCCAGAGUGAAGAUAUAGGACUCUGAAACUCUACCGGGGAUUCAUCGCCACCCCAAAGAGGAGCCGAAACAAGCCUAUUUGCAUA